UCUAAAUUCCACUUGUUUAUACCCCCACAUACGAUGCUUCCUAUCUUCAUCCAGGAAACCCAAGUGAGGCCACACCUUCGCCUUAACCCCAAACUUCCCCAACUUCCCCAAUCCUUCCAAUCUUAAUCUUCUCUUCCUCUUAUAUAUAUACUCCUUCCAAAUCCACACUCUCCUCCAUUCCACUCAACACUUCUCACUUUGAAUUUCAAUUUCCAACUCUCCUUUGUCUAAGUUUUCUUUAUCUUUGUCUAAGAUGGCAACAGAGCAUGAAGAAACUUCAGCUUUAGAGCUGAUCAGGCAACACCUCCUCAAUGAAUUCACCUCCAUGGACAGCUUCAUCUCUAGCCUCCACCUUUGCACCUCCCAAAUCCCCCAACCCCAAAUUUCCCAUUUUCCCUCUCAAUCUAAGACAAACUCCAUCACCAGCUCUGAUCAGUAUUUCAGAAUCUCUG
rnacentral:lncRNA from 1 species